AAUGAGUCCUUGUAAUGGAUGUUGGCGACAGUUGGUCCAUUGUAGGAGUAGAGUGCGCAUUAAGAUAUGACCUAUCGACCUUGAUAGAGAGAAGUAGUCCUACGAGAUUUGAAAAGCUAAGUCUAAGAAUUUAUGGCCAUAGUAGUGUGAUUGAUGGAAAAAAAUUUUCAUAGAAGUCAUAACUUGACUUGAGCUAAUCGAAUCUAUCAUAUG
rnacentral:lncRNA from 1 species